rnacentral:rRNA from 1 species
UACAGAGGUCUCAAGCGUUGUUCGGAUUCAUUGGGCGUAAAGGGUGCGUAGGUGGCAUGGUAAGUCGGAUGUGAAAUCCCGGGGCUCAACCCCCGGAACUGCACUCGAUACUGCGUGACUAGGGUGCUGGAGAGGAGACUGGAAUUUACGGUGUAGCAGUGAAAUGCGUAGAUAUCGUAAGGAAGACCAGUGGCGAAGGCGAGUCUCUGGACAGCUACCGACGCUGAGGCACGAAGGCCAGGGGAGCAAACGGG